UGCCCCUCCCCGCCUUCGCCCCCGCCCGACGCGCGGGCUCCGCCGACCUCCUGGUCAAUGGGAACGCGGGACUGGGCAGCCAGCGCCGCGGUCAGGUGGGCCCCCCAGCUCGCGCCCCGCGCCGCCCUGCUCGUCCUCCCGCUUCCGCUCCAUCUUGGCUCCAGCAGCUUGCCUUCUUGGUUACUCUUCUGCUGUCAGGGCUGUGGCAGCCGAGACCAAGUGACCUCAGCAAACGCGAGGAGACAGUGGGUCUGAGUAAACCCGCGUUCCGGUGAAUUCGCCUGGGGCAUGGGGGCGGUCGCGGAUUGUUCUUUUCCUGCGACCCACCAUCAUUAAUUGAGCACCUAGUAUGUGAGAGUAGAGGCUGUGAGGAGAGGAACACAGCAGGAUGAGACAAAGCCCUGGCCUGUUCUCUAGGAGCCUCUACCUCCCUGUGCCUUCGCGGACCCUGCUCUGAGAUUCCCCGCCAUAGGUUGCUAAGAUGAUUAUGCCGAUCUGAUAUAGGGAAAAACUUCAGCAACUCACCCAGAUUCUGCUAUCCCUACAAGGCUGCAUCCGAAAGACUAAAGAGCUCUUCAUGGUCGACUCUGUGAAAAGGAGACCUGGAAAAGAGUCUUCUUGUUGGGGACCCUGGCCUGAGUUGGAGAAUCCUGGGAAGGAUCUACAAUCUACAACCUGGUGUAGAGGAGUCUAGGGUAAGAAGGAGAAUGUAGAGCUUCUGCGUAGUUCACAAUUGUUACCUGACCUCCUAAGCUUUUUAUAUGUUGAAGACUGAUGUUUUACAUCAAGACUCCAAAGGUGAAGGCAGCUGCCAUGUUGUGAGUUUAUGGAGAGACUCCCAUGGAACAGCCAUGUGAGUGAACUUGGAAGCAGAACCUCCCGCAUCACACCUUCUGAUGAGACUGCAGCCCCCACUGGCAGCUUCAGAACAUCAGCCAGAAGCACCCAGGUAAGUGGCAUCCAGAUUCCUGACUCACAGAAACUUGAGAUAACACGUUUAUUUUUUCAAACAGUUACAUUUGGGGGUAGUUUGUUACGCAGCAAUACAUAGCUAUAGACACCAAAGUGGAUAUUUAUGCUUGAAGCUUAAGGGGAAGGUCAAGGAUGGAUGUGUUUGUUUAGGAACCAUUAGUGUUUGAUGGCAUUUAAAGCCACGGAACGGAAUAAUGUUAAGUAGAAACAGUAGUCAGAGAAGAGCAGAGGUCUGAGGAGUGAGCCUUGGGGAUUCCCACCAUUCAGUGGUCAGACAAAUGCGGGGAUUCAGCAAAGCAAGUGGACACCAAGUGGCUAACGUGGAAGGAGGAAAAACAGAAGGGUGUGGUAUCAGGAAUCA